AGAAGCAGCCGUUCCCGCCACGCUGCCAGGACCCCAUCGCCACACCCCGGCCCAGCAGGGGCUAUGCCAAACCCAUCUCCUCCAGCACACUCCGUGGCGACUCAUCCUCCUAAGGCAGAGACAGACAGAGGGUGACGCAGAGACACCAGGAGAGGCCGACAGGGUGGGCAAGACAGCAGUCACGAGGAAGAGUCAGACGGGGGAGGCACAGACACGGGGGAGGGGGAGAGAAGCCAAUGUGAGCCCAAGGCCGGACCAGUGAGCCCUUCAUGGGGCACCCACCAGCCUCCCAGGGCCAGCCCCAGAGCCAGCCAACAGUGGCAGGGGGGGUCCAGGUUGAGUCCGUCACCACCCAGAGAACCCAAAGCCAGGACCUUGGUAAGCAGGGGCCCCGCCUUGACACCUGGGGGUAAAGGGAGUGAAGCCGGGACAAGGAGGUGGGGGAUCUUUCUGGGGCCCUGGGGGGUACAGCUGACUGGGUCCUGUUUUUCAGAGUGGGGAAAAGGCAGAGGGAGGUGAGUGCCAGGUCCCUGAGGGAAGGUGAACCAGGCUGCAGGGAGAUGCGUCAUUAGGGUCUGAGCGCAACACUGGUGACACGAUGGGUGUGUGUGCCAGGGCAUGUGUGUGUGUGUGUGUGUGUGCGCGCCAGGGUGUGUGUGUGUGCGUGUGUGGGAAGGUGAAGCUCGACCAGUGAGGUGGCAAGUUCAGUUCUGCCCUCUCUCCCACUGCAAAGAUGAGCCCUCCCUCGCCCCCCAUCUCUCCCCCUCCUCAGAGCCAGCUCAGGCCGGGCUCGCUCAUCACUGCAGAUUCCGGUGACUCAUCUCCCUGCACCAGGGCUCGGUGAUGGCACAGCAGAGAGGGGGCAGGCAGUAAUGGGGUGAGGGCGGGGGCGCUGGGGAGCAGGGAGAACCAACAUCCAGGUGCCCUCUGCCAGCCCCCAAAUCCCCAUAGCCUUUUCCUCCUGAGACGCAGAGGCUUUGGAGUAUGUGUGUGUUAAAAAAAAAAAAAAGAAAAAAAAAAGAGAGGUGGGGGAAGAAAUCAGGGAAGAAAAGAAUGACCUACCAGGUGCCCCUUCUCCAAUUCUCCAAGCAACCCUUAACUCCAGAGCAAACCCUUAACCCUUUGGUGUUAAGCCUUGCUCAGAGAAUUGGACAAAGGAGACUGGGUGGCCACGAGACAUCUGGGGGCUUGGGAGAAGGACAGAGCUUGGAAUGAGGGGUGCACAGGUGGGCUAUCUGCCACCCUACCUCCCACCCCAUGGGGUCAGGGCUUGAGAGUAAGCUGGAGAGCUGGGCGUGGUGGGGGUCAGAUACCACAGGGAGGGGGGGCUCCUUGGCGACGGUGGGCAGGGCAGGCCGGGUGUCCAGGGGAGGGAGGACCCUGUCCGCCACUGUGCGCUUCCUCCUCCUCCUCACUGUCCCUGGCCCGUACCUCUUGCAGUAGGUCAGCCUGCUCGAUGGCUUUCAGCACACUCUUCUUGGAGGUGUCCUGGACAUCCCCC
rnacentral:lncRNA from 1 species